GAUGAACGCUGGCGGCGUGCCUAAUACAUGCAAGUCGAGCGAACAGACGAGGAGCUUGCUCCUCUGACGUUAGCGGCGGACGGGUGAGUAACACGUGGAUAACCUACCUAUACGACUGGGAUAACUUCGGGAAACCGGAGCUAAUACCGGAUAAUAUAUUGCACCGCAUGGUUCAAUAGUGAAAGACGCUUUUGCUGUCACUUAUAGAUUGAUCCGCGCCGCAUUAGCUAGUUGGUAAGGUAACGGCUUAACAAGGCAACGAUGCGUAGCCGACCCGAGAGGGUGAUCGGCUACACUGGAAGUGAGACAGGGUCCAGACUCCUGCAGGGGGCAGCGGCAGGGAAUCUUACGGAAUGGGCGAAAGCGUGACGGAGCAACGCCGCGGGAAGGAUGAAGGUCUUCGGAUCGGAAAGCGCUGUUAGUAGGGAAGAAGAAAAGUGUAAGUACCUAUGCACGUCUUGACGGUACCGGAUCAGAAAGCCACGGCUAACUACGUG
rnacentral:rRNA from 1 species